GAGCCCAACUUCUUAAUGCACGUUCUCUGAAGUUUAAUUAGGGCUCAAAUUCCCUCUCUUCCACUCACGAGUUCUUUCAGGAGAUGGAGGAAGUUAUAUAUUGACACCCUCUCUUCAUCAUCUUCUCUACAAAGGAAAAAAUUAAUGGUUCCUUCUCCGUCUAAUCUGACAGCGUGGGAUCAUUAGCCAACCAGCUUAUUGCACAAGGCAAAAGUGAUCUUCUGUACCUUCUGAUCUACUCAUCUCCAACGUUGAUUGAAAGCAAAGUGUCAUGGAGAGUGCGCCUACUACGUUCGUGGAUGUAGAGUAUCCUUAGAUGGCUGCAAUACCAAUCACCAAACAAAUACUUAGAAUUUUUAUUAUAUUUAUUUUUUUGUGGAACCACACUAAAUUAUGCAAUGUUUGGAUUAUUGUAUUACUACUUUAGUUUGGUA